ensembl:lncRNA
AAAAAACAGAAUGUUCACAGGAACAGACCAAACCAAAAGCAGAAUGUUCACUUCAGAACAGACUAGACUUGAGCAGAACAGAAUACUCACUUCAGACCAGACAAACACUGGAUUCUCAUUUCAAGAGGUCUCAAAAGCAAGAGCAUAAGCUCCAGACAUGAUGCUGCAUGCAUCCGCUGAUAUGGGACGGAUCUAUCACUGGUAGAUAUGAUUCUGUUUGACAGUUCUGUGAGCAUGUAACAAAAUGAACAAAACAAACCACACACAUCGAGCAACCAAAGGAGGCGGUUAGCUUUUCUUGAGCUUCUCGUUUUCUUGUGUGUUCUUGUUUCGAAAGUGUUUUGUUGUUUCCCUGUGGUUUCCUUUUCCUGCGUCUUGUUUUCAAAUCCAGUGUUUUGACGAAAAGUAUCUCUGAAAACAAUGCCAAGCUAUAUCGAGC